UACAGAGGGUGCGAGCGUUAAUCGGAAUUACUGGGCGUAAAGCGCACGUAGUCGGCUUUGCAAGUCGGGUGUGAAAUCCCCGGGCUCAACCUGGGAACUGCAUCCGAGACUGCAUUGCUAGAGUAUGGGAGAGGGAAGCGGAAUUUCUGGUGUAGCAGUGAAAUGCGUAGAUAUCAGAAGGAACAUCAGUGGCGAAGGCGGCUUUCUGGACCAAUACUGACGAUCAGGUGCGAAAGCGUGGGGAGCAAACAGG
rnacentral:rRNA from 1 species